ACGGCUCAGUAACACGUGGAUAACCUGCCCUUGGGUCCGGCAUAACCCCGGGAAACUGGGGAUAAUUCCGGAUAACGCACAUAUGCUGGAAUGCUUUAUGCGUAAAAUGGAUUCGUCUGCCCAAGGAUGGGUCUGCGGCCUAUCAGGUAGUAGUGGGUGUAAUGUACCUACUAGCCUACAACGGGUACGGGUUGUGAGAGCAAGAGCCCGGAGAUGGAUUCUGAGACAUGAAUCCAGGCCCUACGGGGCGCAGCAGGCGCGAAAACUUUACAAUGCGGGAAACCGUGAUAAGGGGACACCGAGUGCCAGCAUCAUAUGCUGGCUGUCCAGGUGUGUAAAAUACACCUGUUAGCAAGGGCCGGGCAAGACCGGUGCCAGCCGCCGCGGUAACACCGGCGGCCCGAGUGGUGAUCGUGAUUAUUGGGUCUAAAGGGUCCGUAGCCGGUUUGGUCAGUCCUCCGGGAAAUCUGACGGCUUAACCGUUAGGCUUUCGGGGGAUACUGCCAGGCUUGGAACCGGGAGAGGUAAGAGGUACUACAGGGGUAGGAGUGAAAUCUUGUAAUCCCUGUGGGACCACCUGUGGCGAAGGCGUCUUACCAGAACGGGUUCGACGGUGAGGGACGAAAGCUGGGGGCACGAACCGGAUUAGAUACCCGGGUAGUCCCAGCCGUAAACGAUGCUCGCUAGGUGUCAGGCAUGGCGCGACCGUGUCUGGUGCCGCAGGGAAGCCGUGAAGCGAGCCACCUGGGAAGUACGGCCGCAAGGCUGAAACUUAAAGGAAUUGGGCGGGGGAAGCAAC
rnacentral:rRNA from 1 species